rnacentral:lncRNA from 1 species
AUGGACAGGGAGGCCUGACGUGCUGCGAUUCAUGGGGUCGCAAAGAGUUGAACAGGACUGAGCGACUGAACUGAACUGAACUGAACCCCUCAGUUCUCGCCGUACACCCGCCGCACCGCAAACACGCGCCGGCUGAGGGGCGGGGGCCAAGGCCGGAAGGGGCGGGGCCAGGCCUGGAGCGUCGGAGCGCCAACCCAGGCCCCCGCGCUUUCUUUUCCGCUUGGCCGCCGGAGAAGGAAGGGCUCUGAGGCUCCGUCUGCCUUACGGGCGUGGCGGCAACGCCCGCGGACACGUCUCCCCGCUCUUCCAGGGGGGAAGGCCUGGCGAAGUUAGGUCAUUUUAUUAUUUCUCCCGGGAACCCGACUCCGUGCCAGAGUCUAUAGGUCGGCCUCGGGCCCCUCCGUCUUGUGUGUCCUGCCCCGGGAUCCCCAUCCCGGUGGCCUCCGUCCAUUGCUGGGCACAGCCCAGCGGUCGGCGCGGCCUCGGCCUCCAAGUCAUCCCAGGAGGCCAUCUUCCCCUCCCCCACCCGGUUGACGCCGCCUCGAGCUCUCCUCCGUGCCUUCUGCUCAAUCGCACAUGUAACAAGAUAAGUACCUGCAAAUGAAUGUUCAAGUGCUUAGCAGUGGUGCUUAAAAACUUCAUUACCUCAAGUAAGUGAUUAUGAUUUGUCACGCAGCCACAUCUGUUGACAAUUUGAAAGUAUCUGAUAAACUCCAAAAAGCUGAGGCCAUUUCCUUUCCUGUUUA